CGCCACAUCCAAUGGGAAGGCGAAGCCCCUCUCCGAGGGUUAACAGGCAGCCAAUGGAAGUCACGCAGAGCGGAUCCCACACGCUCCAUUCAAGAAUCUCAAGUAUUCAAGAUGGACGGAAGGGAACGCGGAGAAGAGGAUCGGGGAGCUGUUUUUAGUGCUUACCGCUGUCAUGCCGGGGGAAAAAGGGGGAGACCCCAAAGUUUUAACCUCUGCUACUGGGGCAGGCGAGAGACGAGGAGAAGCUAAAGAGCUGCUGAAAGGGUGGAAUUCUGAGCAGUCUUUCCAGAAACCUCACACGCUUCUGCUGGAUGAAGACUAAAUUGAGACCGUUUUCCACAGAUGGUUCUCUAAAGAAAAGACACUGAUACCAUUAAAUAAAACAGUUACCUGAGUGAUCCUAAAAGCAAA